UACGGGGGGGGCAAGCGUUGUUCGGAAUUACUGGGCGUAAAGGGCUCGUAGGCGGCCAACUAAGUCGGAUGUGAAAUCCCCAGGCUCAACCUGGGAACUGCGUCUGAUACUGGAUGGCUUGAAUUCGGGAGAGGGAUGCAGAAUUCCAGGUGUAGCGGUGAAAUGCGUAGAUAUCUGGAGGAAUACCGGUGGCGAAGGCGGCAUCCUGGACCGACAUUGACGCUGAUGAGCGAAAGCUAGGGGAGCAAACAGG
rnacentral:rRNA from 1 species